GAUGAACGCUGACAGAAUGCUUAACACAUGCAAGUCUUUGGCGAAGCUGUGCUUGCACAGCCUAGCCAAGGCGGACGGGUGAGUAACGCGUAAGGAACUUGCCCUGCAGUCAGGGAUAACAGACGGAAACGACUGAUAAGACCUGGUAAAGUCAGUCGGACUCAUGUCCAGCCUGAUGAAAAGAGAUGCUGCAGGAGAGCCUUGCGUCCUAUUAGCUUGUUGGUGGGGUAACGGCCCACCAAGGCGAUGAUAGGUAGCCGGCCUGAGAGGGUGGACGGCCACAAGGGGACUGAGAUACGGCCCUUACUCCUACGGGAGGCAGCAGUGGGGAAUAUUGGACAAUGGGGGCAACCCUGAUCCAGCAAUUCUGUGUGCACGAUGAAGGUUUUCGGAUUGUAAAGUGAUUUCAGCAGGGAAGAAAAAAAUGACGGUACCUGCAGAAGAAGCGACGGCUAAAUACGUG
rnacentral:rRNA from 1 species